UGUUACUCACUCUGCUAUCUUGAAAGAUCCUCCGACCAGGCGGAACAAGAGUGAGUUCAUCUUCGUGGAUUGCAGGUUAUGUCCUGGCAGCAGACUUCUCCCUGCAUCCACUAGUGGCCGUAAGCCUAUUCCUCGUCCUGAUCUGACUGAGGAAGAGGGAGCUUCCGUGCAAAAGCUCGCCUUUUUGCAUCCUAUCGCUGUGCCUGUUUGUCACGCGAUUGAAGAUACCUUUAGCCGACAAGGUCUUCCUUUGUCUGUUUUCCUUUUGUGUUUUUAUACACGCGUAUAUUUUCUAACUCUGUUUUUGUUUCUUGCAGAUUUUUAUAUGCAUCACCCCGGAGGUAUCCCUGAACGCGUCGG
rnacentral:lncRNA from 1 species